UACAGUUCAUUUUCCCAGUAGUCUUAUUAUAGUUGAAUUCCUAAUAACAAGCAACUUAUUUCCGAACGUUGGUAACUGAAGUUAAUGAAAUUUCCCUAUCAUUCAAUAAUUUCUUUUUCAAAAAUAUAAUUAUAAAUCUCCCGGUAUAUUAUUCAUUGGUCUCCGUGCGAACUAUCGAAUACAAUCUAUGCCCGCGCUACGCCUACCCUAUUCCUUCGAAUGAAAGGUGCGAAUUCAACAAAGACAGAGAAACGGUCAAGUGUCGUCUCUCGUUUCCUCGAAUCCUUCCAGCAAAUAUUAAGUUUUUUUCAAAUAGGUUUGUUGAUCAUUCGUCCCUCGAAUUUUGGAAUUCUCGGUGCACAGUGAAAAUAGGACAUUCAGUCAGUAAGCGAGUGUACUGGAGAUCAGCGACUUGGUAUUGUUAUAAAGUUUUGUCGAUUUGAGGAUUAUUGCAGAUAUAAAUCAUCAUAUAGGAAUUAGUUUGAUGCUCCAAUUGAUACCAAUCCUGAAAUCUUCUGCUUCUAUGGAUUUAUGCACUGAACUCUACUGAAGGAAAUUUUGUGUCUUAUCAUUUUCUUUUGGAAACCUACUAUUGAGUAAAUGAACCCUCUAAUAUUGAGGGUUCCAGUUUUGGAUUUUUCAUUUCCUUGAAUGCACCACAGAUCACUUUCGAUUUAUUGCUCGACGAUAGAUUGUCUGGGUGAAAUAGGAAAAGUCCUCAAGUCCCGCCAAGCUAAGAUCCGAAGUAUUGUCGUAGGAUCGGUAUUCGUGAGGACUAUUUGGUCUAUUUUUUUUAUACAAUAUUGCAAGAAGGAUACGUCCGGUAAGCGAGUAUUUCUUCAUUGUUUAUCUAUAAUUUCUACCGCUGGGAUUGCUGCUACGAUACUGCAAAAACCAAGAAAUACCAGUGCAGGCUCUUCCUUAAUUAUAAACAUUUUAUUAUCACCUGAAUAUAUGAGACCAUAUUUUCUUAUGUCAUAAUAAUAAUAGUUUUAUUUUGUGAGCCAAUUAUAGCUAUAUUUGGAGAUUCAUAUAUGAACGAUAUGUUGUCAGUUAUCAACCAUAGUUAUCAACUUGUAUUGGUUAAGGGAUAUCUAGUAAAUCAAUUCUUUUUAUUGGA